CGAGAUGUCUUUUCCAUGCCUGCGAGAAUGAGCAGCCAUGUUGAGGAAAAUGGCUCUUCUGUAGAGUCCCUGGGAUGCAGCUGUCUCUAGACCCCUUGACAAAGACAGCGAGGCUCAUCGUGGUAAGACCAGCCUCUCACUUAGGGUGAAGAAGCAAGCCACACGGCUUCUGACGGCUCCACACGAAACCAUCUGAGCGGCACUUGAAAGGAUCUUUGCUAUCUUUGGUCCAACACUGGACCUAACUCUCAACAGUGGCCUCACAGUUUCACUCAUCAAACUCGUGGCAGGCAGGACAUUAGUUAAUAAACCCCUAUGGCCAGCUGGACAAGAGAAUGAAGCUUCUCAUACAAAAUGUCCACAAGGCAGUCUUUCCGAAG
rnacentral:lncRNA from 1 species